GCUUGUCUCAAAGAUUAAGCCAUGCAUGUCUUAGUGUAAAUAACUCUUAUGAAACUGCGAAUGGCUCAUUAAAUCAGUUAUCGUUUAUUUGAUGGUCCCUUACUACAUGGAUAACCGUAGUAAUUCUAGAGCUAAUACAUGCACAAAGGCCCGACUCACGAAGGGCUGUAUUUAUUAGAUUUAAGGCCAACCGAGCUUGCUCGUCUCUUGGUGAAUCAUGAUAACUUCACGAAUCGCAUGGCCUCGCGCCGGCGAUAUUUCAUUCAAAUUUCUGCCCUAUCAAUUGGCGAUGGUAGGAUAGAGGCCUACCAUGGUGUUAACGGGUGACGGGGGAUUAGGGUUCGAUUCCGGAGAGGCAGCCUGAGAAACGGCUACCACAUCCAAGGAAGGCAGCAGG
rnacentral:rRNA from 1 species